rnacentral:rRNA from 1 species
AAAGAAAGUAAGCAAGGGCGCAUGGCGGAUGCCUUGGCUCUCGGAGGCGAUGAAGGACGUGAUAAGCUGCGAUAAGCUCUGGGUAGGUGCAAAUAACCUUUGAUCCAGAGAUUUCCGAAUGGGACAACCCGGCAUUCUGAAGGAAUGUCAUCCAUCCUUGAUGGAAGCUAACGCAGGGAACUGAAACAUCUUAGUACCUGUAGGAAAAGAAAAUAAUAAUGAUUCCCCUAGUAGUGGCGAGCGAACGGGGAACAGCCCAAACCACCCAUGUUACGGCAUGUGUGGGGUUGUAGGACCACGAUAUCGCAAGACAUCUGAUGAAUAGAAUCCUCUGGAAAGUGGAACCAUAGACGGUGAUAGUCCUGUAUAUGAAGUCAGAUUAAGCGUAGUGGUAUCCUGAGUAGCGCGGGACACGAGAAAUCUUGCGUGAAUCUGCCGGGACCAUCCGGUAAGGCUAAAUACUCCCGAGAGACCGAUAGCGAACCAGUACUGUGAAGGAAAGGUGAAAAGCACUUCGAACAGAAGAGUGAAAUAGUCCCUGAAACCGUGCGCCUACAAGCGGUCGGAGCUGCGUAAGCAGUGACGGCGUGCCUUUUGCAUAAUGAACCUACGAGUUACUUUUUCCGGCAAGGUUAAGCAUCUUGAGAUGUGCAGCCGAAGCGAAAGCGAGUCUGAACAGGGCGUCGAGUCGGAAGGAGUAGACGCGAAACCAAGUGAUCUACCCUUGGUCAGGUUGAAGGUUAGGUAACACUAACUGGAGGACCGAACCGAUAAGCGUUGAAAAGCUUCCGGAUGAACUGAGGGUGGGGGUGAAAGGCUAAUCAAACUUGGAGAUAGCUCGUACUCCCCGAAAUGCAUUUAGGUGCAGCCUUGUGAGUUACUAAUGUGAGGUAGAGCGACUGAUAAGAUGCGAGGGCUUCACCGCCUAUCAAGUCUUGAUAAACUCCGAAUGCGCAUUAGUUCUAUCACAGGAGUGAGGGCAUGGGUGCUAAGGUCCAUGUCCUAAAGGAGAAGAAUCCAGACCAUCAGCUAAGGUCCCGAAAUAAACACUAAGUUGAACUAACGAAGUCAGAUUGCUAAGACAGCUAGGAUGUUGGCUUGGAAGCAGCCAUUCAUUUAAAGAGUGCGUAACAGCUCACUAGUCGAGGAGUUUGGCGUGGAUAAUAAUCGGGCAUCAAGUGUUUUACCGAAGCUAUGGGAUCAGUAAUGAUCGGUAGGGGAGCAUUCCACUCUGCGUCGAAGGUGAAGCGUGAGCUUUGCUGGAGCGUGUGGAAAAGCAAAUGUAGGUAUAAGUAACGAUAAAGGGGGUGAGAAACCCCCUCGCCGAAAGACUAAGGUUUCCUGAUCAACGCUAAUCGGAUCAGGGUUAGUCGGGUCCUAAGGCUCAGCCGAACGGUGAGGCCGAUGGCAGAACAGGUUAAUAUUCCUGUACUACCUUAAGGAGUGACGUGGAGACGGAGGCGUGACAGCGCCGCGGACUGACGGAAUAGUCCGUUGAAGGGUGUAGAUGUUGAUUAUCCCAGGCAAAUCCGGGAUAAGAGUCGAACCUGAUAGUAUGGAACGUUCUUCGGAACAAUCCAAUAGUGCGUGUAAUCAUACUCCCAAGAAAAUCCGCUAAACUUAAUCCUUAAGGUACCCGUACCGCAAACGGACACACGUAGUCGGGUUGAAUAUACUAAGGCGCUUGAGUGAUUCACGGUUAAGGAACUAGGCAAAUUGACCCUGUAACUUCGGGAUAAAGGGUCCCAACGAGAGUUGGGCGCAGAGAAUAGGUCCAGGCAACUGUUUAACAAAAACACAGGGCUGUGCGAAAUUGAAAGAUAAUGUAUACAGCCUGACACCUGCCCGGUGCUGGAAGGUUAAGAGGAGAUGUCAUCGCAAGAGAAGCAUUGAAUUGAAGCCCCAGUAAACGGCGGCCGUAACUAUAACGGUCCUAAGGUAGCGAAAUUCCUUGUCGGGUAAGUUCCGACCUGCACGAAUGGUGUAAUGAUCUGGACACUGUCUCAACCGUGAGCUCAGUGAAAUUGUAGUAUCGGUGAAGAUGCCGAUUACCCGCGAUGGGACGAAAAGACCCCGUGAACCUUUACUAUAGCUUAACAUUGAAUUUGGGUAAUUGAUGUGUAGGAUAGGCCGGAGACUU